AACACUGUGCUGCAGCAGUUCUGUGACACAGAGGGCGCAGUGCUGGACAGAAGGAUGGACAUGAUGGUCAGGACAACCAAUUUGAGAUGGGAGUUGCCAAAGAAGGCAAUGUCAAAGGGUUUGAGCCAUAAUGAUAAUGACAACAAAGACACGAAGGAAAAGGAGGAAGGAAUGAUGCUACUUCAAGCACUUCACAAACUAAUGUCAGCCCUCUUCUUCUGCAUCCCGUCCAAUUUGCUGAGAUGCCGUGAGAAACACAAGGAAGGCAGGUAAGAUGAUAUGUUUCUGAUAAUUUUGUGUGUGCAACAGGCACACUGUGAUACAUGUCUUAUUAUAAAAAAACUGUAUAAAGAACUGAUAAAUCAGCACAUAUUAACAUGAAUAUGAUGAUAUAUGUUGGAGCGAGAAGGCAGGAGUUGACCUCUUUUUGACUCAGUCUGUGCUCAACAGCACAAUGGGAAAUGUUCAUUCACUGUUGAACCACAUUUUAUAUUUGUGGCAUGUUGUGGCAGGUCGGGCAUAUGAAGAUAGGAGUGCAGUUUUAUUAUCACAUCUGUCCUAUCUGUGUACUGUAACAGAUGAAGAUACGGUCUAUAACCUUUAAAGCCUUUGACGGCUCAUCUUGCUGAGUCACUUCUUUCUAAUAAAUGUUAUCCCAACUCCUUCCUGUGUUGUAGCCUGAUAGCACCAAGGUCAAGCCUGUACAACACUUAAUGCUGUGCUCUACUUAGACAAAUUACUUUUGUAUCAAUGAAUUUUUUUUUCACUGUUAGUAACUUAAGUUAAGCGUGUCCUGCUCCUGUCUAUAAGCAACCAGCUCUUUGCGCCUCCUCAAAGAGUGGAAAAACUGUGUGUUUUGUACACAGAAGAACAACACAGUGAUCAACACAAUCUUUGUUUAAAAGGUAUGAGCCAGACCUUGAGGUGCCAAAGUCCAUUUCUCACCCUAGAAAGGAAGAAAAUGUGUUUAAAAGUAUGAAUCCAGUUACAACAUUUUGAUGAUGAUUUUUUUUUUUUUGUGGUUUCCCAGUUUAUCACAUUUCAUUUUAUCUUUGUGGAGUGCAUUUGCAGGAUCUUAUCUGUAGAGCUAGUGUUUUCUGCAGUUAUCAUCAUUGUUCCACACCACCUUGUUCUACAAGGGGCCCCUGACCCCUGAAGUCCCUUCACCUCUGCUUAGUUGGGACAUCAUCCAUAAAAAGAUGCCUGAGAACAUCCUUUUGCUUCUGGGAGGAGGUUUUGCAUUUCUUCAGUAUUAAUGCAAAGGAUUAAGACCAGUGGGUCACCAUUUGAUUUAAAGAGAGCCAAGAGGAGGAGGAAGAGGACAGAAGGCAAAUCCCUUUAAAGGGUCAAAGUGGAAGGAAAGCAAAAUGAUAAGGGAAAUCAAUUAUAGGAAACUGAAAAGAUUUCAUUGAACUCCUUGGCAGGGGUCUAUAUAUCUACUGUAUGUGAAGGUCCUGAGCAAAAUGGAUUUUAAAUUGGUGAAACUACAGAGCACACAGGUCAAAAGAGUAAGCAGGUACAAAAUCCAAAAUGUUUUUGUUUAAUCUAGUGACCACUCUUCUGGUAAAGGCUGAAAGGCAGCAUCAUUCAAAGGAAAUCAUUCUCAUGUUAAAUUGGUUCUCACAGUCAUGGUGAAGUGAAUGGAGGUGUGAUGGAUGUCAGUUAUCACAGGUAAGACAUCUUUAUGCCCUGAUGUCUUCUUUCUAACUUGUCUCAUUUUGAUUAUUUUUGAUCUUUUCCAGUCAUAAUGUAAGCCAGAUCUGGCACUGUGUGUUUGUUAAGACUUUUAAAUAGAGAAAAGGCAAGUAGGAUGUUUAAAGCUACAGUACAUUUCCCGCUAAAAAAUCCAGUUGGACGAUAAGUACUUGUAAGUCUCAGGUUUCUGACCAUGUACAAAAACUGUUCUCAGUGAGAUCAAUGUUAUAAAUAAAUGUUUGAUACUCCCUGUAACACCUCUGGUGCUUUUUGAACCUGUUUUUGAUAAGUGAACUGAAUGGAUGAUGAAGCUGUAAAUGUGAAAGUAAUAAACUGAGAACAGUCAUUUGAGGAAACAGCUAUAUGUUUUAUUAUGAAAUGUCUCUGGGAGAGGCAAAGCCAUUCCUCAAUUUAUAUAACCUCAGCCUGAGCCAAAAAGUGAAGUCAGUGAUAAAUCUUGCUGCCAGAGGGGCUGUCUUCAAAAGACACUCAUAAACCACUCUUUCUGAUGACAUAAAAUAUAGAAUUGACAUUGCAUUUACCUUACACUCAUAUUCUCAUGCAUUGUCAGGAAACUAAUUGAACCAAUUAAAAUGGACACUACAGUGUCAAGCGUGAUGCUUCAUACU